rnacentral:rRNA from 1 species
CUUUCGUACUCGCGAAUGCAUCNAGAUUAGUAGUUUGAUCAUGGCUCAGAUUGAACGCUGGCGGCAGGCCUAACACAUGCAAGUCGAGCGGCAGCACAAGUAAGUUUACUUAUGAGGUGGCGAGCGGCGGACGGGUGAGUAAUGCCUAGGGAUCUGCCCAGUCGAGGGGGGUAACAGUUGGAAACGACUGCUAAUACCGCAUACGCCCUACGGGGGAAAGAGGGGGACCUUCGGGCCUCUCGCGAUUGGAUGAACCUAGGUGGGAUUAGCUAGUUGGUGAGGUAAUGGCUCACCAAGGCGACGAUCCCUAGCUGUUCUGAGAGGAUGAUCAGCCACACUGGGACUGAGACACGGCCCAGACUCCUACGGGAGGCAGCAGUGGGGAAUAUUGCACAAUGGGGGAAACCCUGAUGCAGCCAUGCCGCGUGUGUGAAGAAGGCCUUCGGGUUGUAAAGCACUUUCAGUAGGGAGGAAAGGGUGAGUCUUAAUACGGCUCAUCUGUGACGUUACCUACAGAAGAAGGACCGGCUAACUCCGUGCCAGCAGCCGCGGUAAUACGGAGGGUCCGAGCG